rnacentral:lncRNA from 1 species
GUAGAUGGAUAGGUGGGUGGGUGGGUGAAUGGAUGGAUGGAUGGGUGGGUGGGUAGAUGGAUGGAUGAUGGAUGGAUAGAUGACAGAUGGAUGGGUGGAUAGAUGGAUGGAAAAAUGAGUGGCAUGGCCUUUCACCCUCUGUGAGCCACUUCAGGAUGAAGAUCCUGUCUUGAUCACCUUCCCCCCAGGACUCAGACAGCACCUGAAGCACAUAACUGCUCAAUAAGUGUCUGAGGAAAGGAUGCUGGUGGAGGGGUUGGCUGGCAGCACAGGUCACUGUAGUAACCUCAAGCCAGACAAAUCCCAUGGGCAUUUGGGGGACCCAGAGACCUACAGUGCCUUCUUGGGUUUGUUGCCUGGUAGGGUUCUAACAGUUCUAGAACCUUCUCUUGGCUCUUCUGGAAGGGAAUGUCCAGUGAAAUCUUGCAUGGGUUUAGAGAAUUGAGAUAGCAACAGUCUAUAUGGUAAAAGGGACAGGGUAAUUUUUUUAGAGUUUUACUAUUUCUGAGCCUGUGGGGGUUUCAUUUUCUCUUGAAAGAUGCUGAGCUAUUCACUGAACUUCCACCAAGAAGAAACAGGGGCAGUGCCCUCCAAGGUUCAGGGCCUGCUCAGCCUCCAGGGAGUAGCUUCCCAUUCUUUCUCACCAAGUCGGCUUUCCAGACUGGCCCUUUGAUACAAAAAUUCUUUCAAGGCAAAUUAAACAAAAGUAAACCUGGCUAAACUUCAGUUUGGUGACCUGUUUUUUGAGAAACUGUUGAGGAACCCUGAAAAGUAUUUAGAUCUUGCUCUUUGAGCCAGAACCCAAACAAUACCUUUCUGUUAACUACCUAAUGCAGCUUUGGCCUCUCUGCGGUGUGUGUAUUGGGGUUUGUGGGGGGAAGAGGGUUAGGGUUUUCCUGGUAGGAAGACACACUUACCUUUUUUUUUUUUUUAAAUGCAUAUGGAACUCAUGGCAUAUGGAAGUUCCCAGGCUAGGGGGGUCCAAUCUGAGCUGCAGCUGCCGGCCUACAGCACAGCCACAGCAACACGAGAUCCGAGCCACAUCUGUGACCUACGCCACAGCUCACGGCAAUGCUGGAUCCUUAACCCACUGAGCAAGACCAGGGCUCAAACCCACGUCCUCAUGGGUACUAGUUGGGUUUGUUACUGCUGAGCCAUGACAGGAGCUCCACUCUCUUACCUUCUUGAUGCUGUGAGAUAACUAUAUAGAAACACAGAACCAUCCCGAGCAGAUUCCUCACACUCGGAAAGAACCCGAUUCAGGCAGCAGUGCCCGCCAACAUUCAAAGAGUAGGAUGAAGGGACAGGACAAACCCAUUAGCAGGGGUUCUUAGCGGCCACCAAAAUGUCAGUUCCACGAAGGCAGGGACCUUGUCUGUCUGAUUCGCUGCUCAUCCCAGCGUCUGGAACAGCGACUGCCACAUAGAAGGUGCUGAAUAAAUAUUGUGGAUAAAUAUUUGUGAACAAAAGCCACCAGAUCGCAGGCUCGGGGAUGGCGAGGAUCGUGUUCAUGCCCGUUUUAUUCUUGGGAG